AGAGGUCUUUAAGACAAGUGAAAGGUUGAUAGGUAAAACCUUGUGCUCUCUGUCACAAUUGAAAGGUUGAGCAGAACACAAGCCUGCUUUGAAUAACAGCUCCAAUCCUCACAACGUCCUCUCUGCGGCCCCGACAGCCUGCCUAAUGAUUACCAACUUGGCACGAGCCUUUCGACUCAAUUCCCCAAGAGACGGGAAUUAAAGGAAGAAGGACAGGAAAGGAGAAAAAAGGAAAACAAAACAACAACAUGUGGUAGUCUGAAUGGCGCACGUCAAAGCCUGCAGUCACCUCGCAUCCUGGAAAGGAGCACAUUGAAAGAAGAAACAUCAUUGAGUUUUUUGUUUUCAUCUAGCUAAAGUGCUUGUACUGCAGAAUCAGCCAAUGCUGUGUGCUCUGCUUGUUACUUCGGCACUCUCAUUUACAUAUAGAGCACCCAUGCUUCAGAAGUGAGACCAGACCUGACAGGAGAGGCGAGGACUGAAUUCCAGACAUAGUUACACCGGAGAUGGAGUUGAAAAGAGGACACUGAUGGACUGAGGAGGACAACACUUGUGGACUGAGGAGGAUGACACUGUAGACAUGUCACCUGUACACCAGGCAGCGUCGUGGAAUAUUCUAAUCAACAGUCAGUAGAAGCUGUCCCCACAGUGUCAAGGACAGACAGGGGCUGGAGAGACUGGACAACAUGCUGCUAAGGCUGCAGACAGGGCUGAAGGACAAUCACACCCUCACCCUCACACCUCACAGCCGAGGUGACCUUCAAUGUACUGGAUGACUAUUCUAGAAAUGUUUGGCAUUGUUACUGGAAAGGUAGAAAGUAGGAUAUGACUUGGUUUGUUUGUGUUGCACCAGAAUGCAAGGGCAAUUAGCCAGGCUUGGGUAGGUUACUUUCUAAAUGUAAUCCAU